AGAAGAAGAAGAAGAAGAAGAAGCUGGUCGUGGAGCGCCGUCCACUCUCAAAAUUCUCUCCCAGAACUCGAUCCGUCCCUCCGCGAGUCAUCAAAGCUUUCAGACGCAGCGAUGACUCUAAUGAG